UACGUAGGGGGCAAGCGUUGUCCGGAAUCAUUGGGCGUAAAGCGCGUGUAGGCGGCCCGGUAAGUCCGCUGUGAAAGUCGGGGGCUCAACCCUCGGAUGCCGGUGGAUACUGUCGGGCUAGAGUGCGGGAGAGGCGAGUGGAAUUCCUGGUGUAGCGGUGAAAUGCGCAGAUAUCAGGAGGAACACCAAUUGCGAAGGCAGCUCGCUGGGACGUUACUGACGCUGAGACGCGAAAGCGUGGGGAGCAAACAGG
rnacentral:rRNA from 1 species